rnacentral:rRNA from 1 species
UACGGAGGGGGCUAGCGUUGUUCGGAAUUACUGGGCGUAAAGCGCACGUAGGCGGCUGUUCAAGUCAGAGGUGAAAGCCUGGAGCUCAACUCCAGAACUGCCUUUGAAACUAGACAGCUAGAAUCAUGGAGAGGUGAGUGGAAUCCGAGUGUAGAGGUGAAAUUCGUAGAUAUUCGGAAGAACACCAGUGGCGAAGGCGGCUCACUGGACAUGUAUUGACGCUGAGGUGCGAAAGCCAGGGGAGCAAACGGG